rnacentral:rRNA from 1 species
UACGAAGGGGGCUAGCGUUGCUCGGAAUCACUGGGCGUAAAGGGUGCGUAGGCGGAUCUUUAAGUCAGGGGUGAAAUCCCGAGGCUCAACCUCGGAACUGCCUUUGAUACUGAGGAUCUUGAGUUCGGGAGAGGUGAGUGGAACUGCGAGUGUAGAGGUGAAAUUCGUAGAUAUUCGCAAGAACACCAGUGGCGAAGGCGGCUCACUGGCCCGAUACUGACGCUGAGGCACGAAAGCGUGGGGAGCAAACAGG